AUGUUCUGUUAUAAUCUCUACCCGGCACAGCCAGAAGAGGACUGGCCACCCCACAUAGCCUGGUUCCUCUCUAGGUUUCUUCCUAGGUUUUGGCUUUUCUAGGGAGUUUUUCCUAGCCACCGUGCUUCUACACCUGCAUUGCUUGCUGUUUGGGGUUUUAGGCUGGGUUUCUGUACAGCACUUUGAGAUAUCAGCUGAUGUACGAAGGGCUAUAUAAAUAAAUUUGAUUUGAUUUGAUUUGAUUUGGUGAGACUGACUGACUGACUGACUGACUGACUGACUGACUGACUGACUGACUGACAGACUGACAGACUGACUGAGGGUUAGUACAGGAGAGAGGAGGAGGAGACUAACCUGUUACUGGGACAACAGAGACUGGUGAGACUGACUGACUGACUGACUGACUGACUGACUGAGGGUUAGUACCGGAGGGAGAAGGAGGAGGCUGACCUAUUACUGGAACAACAGAGACUGUAUACAGACUCAGACAGUGGAGACGACUCUGAUAAGAGAUCCUGUGAAGAGAGCUGGAGACUGAUAUCUUCACUCAGAGAGAAACUACCUGCUAACAAGGUCCAGUCGAUAGUAAAGCGUUGUGGCCUGCCCAGUAGUGGUAAACGUCGGGAGCCACUCAGGGUCUAUCAGAUCCCUCAGCGUCGCCGAAUCAGCAAAGACCCCAAACGGGUUACCAUCAGAGACCUGAGGAUGCAGGCGGUCAAAGAGAUCUGCUACGAGGUACAGUAUUGUUACCACGCCAAAUACAACACCCCACUGGCUCUGUCCCAGUCACCUUACUGUCAAGAGAUCUACUACAAGGUUUUUAAAAUGUUUUAUUUCAUCUUUAUUUAAC